rnacentral:tRNA from 4 species
GUCCCUAUCGUCUAGAGGCCUAGGACACCGGGUUUUCAUCCCGGCAACCGGGGUUCGAAUCCCCGUGGGGAUGCCA